rnacentral:rRNA from 1 species
UACGGGGGGGCAAGCGUUGUUCGGAAUUACUGGGCGUAAAGGGCCAGUAGGCUGCCAACUAAGUCCGACGUGAAAUCCCAAGGCUUAACCUUGGAACUGCGUCGGAUACUGGAUGGCUUGAAUUCGGGAGAGGGAUGCAGAAUUCCAGGUGUAGCGGUGAAAUGCGCAGAUAUCAGGAGGAACACCGGUGGCGAAGGCGGUUCUCUGGGCAUUACCUGACGCUGAGACGCGAAAGCGUGGGGAGCGAACAGG